UACGGAGGGUGCAAGCGUUAUCCGGAUUCACUGGGUUUAAAGGGUGCGUAGGUGGACUGGUAAGUCCGCGGUGAAAUCCCCAAGCUUAACUUGGGAACUGCCAUGGAUACUAUCAGUCUUGAAUACUGUGGAGGUAAGCGGAAUAUGUCAUGUAGCGGUGAAAUGCUUAGAUAUGACAUAGAACACCGAUAACGGAGGCAGCUUGCUACACAGUCAUUGACACUGAGGCACGAAAGCGUGGGGAGCAAACAGG
rnacentral:rRNA from 1 species